rnacentral:rRNA from 1 species
CUUGGUUCAGGAUGAACGCUGGCGGCGUGCCUAAUACAUGCAAGUCGAACGAGGGUGCUUGCACCCUAGUGGCGAACGGGUUAAUAACACGUAGGUAACCUGCCCUUAAGCUUGGGAUACCCAGAGGAAACUUUGGCUAAUACCGGAUAACAACAGAUGAGGCAUCUCAACUGUUUGAAAGGCCCUUUACGGGGUCACUUAAGGAUGGACCAGCGGCGCAUUAGCUAGUUGGUGAGAUAACAGCCCACCAAGGCGAGGAUGCGUAGCCGAACUGAGAGGUUGAUCGGCAACAUUGGAACUGAGACACGGUCCAAACUCCUACGGGAGGCAGCAGUAAGGAGUUUUUCGGCAAUGGGGGAAACCCUGACCGAGCAACGCCGCGUGAGUGAAUGACGGCCCUAUGGGUUGUAAAGCUCUUUUAUUAGAGACGAAUGGUGGGUUUAGGAAAUGAAACCCACUUGACUGUAUCUUUUGAAUAAGCCACGGCUAACUACGUGCCAGCAGCCGC